rnacentral:rRNA from 1 species
UACGUAGGGUGCAAGCGUUGUCCGGAAUUAUUGGGCGUAAAGAGCUCGUAGGCGGUUUGUCGCGUCUGCUGUGAAAACUCGAGGCUCAACCUCGAGACGCCGGUGGAAACCAUCAGGCUAGAGUCCGGAAGAGGAGAGUGGAAUUCCUGGUGUAGCGGUGAAAUGCGCAGAUAUCAGGAAGAACACCCGUGGCUAAGGCGGCUCUCUAGUACGGUACUGACGCUGAGACGCGAAAGCGUGGGGAGCGAACAGG